rnacentral:RNase_P_RNA from 1 species
GCGGAGGGCCGGAUGGCCGCGGACCGAACGGUUCGAGGAAAGUCCGGACUCCAUGAAGCGACGGUGCCGGGUAACGCCCGGGCGGGGAAACCCGACGGAAAGCGCCACAGAGAACAGACCGCCGCGUCACGGCGCGGCAAGGGUGAAACGGUGGGGCAAGAGCCCACCGCGGGGCCGGCAACGGUUCCGGCACGGCAAGCCCCACCGGGAGCAAUGCCGAAUAGGACCCCCACGCGGGACCGGUCCGGGCAACCGGAGACCGCCGCGGGGCCCGCUUCAGCCUGGAGGGGUCGGGUUGGCAGCACGAGGCGCGCGGUGACGCGCGUCCCAGAGGAAUGGCCAUCGAAGGGGGAAACCCCGGAACAGAAUCCGGCUUACAGGCCCUCCGCGCGU